rfam:Populus trichocarpa scaffold_1_contig_454, whole genome shotgun sequence.
GUAACUGUCUAGGGUAUAUCUCUGUCUAGUUAUGACAGAUUUAUAUCUGACUACUCAGAAUUACUCGUGAAAACUACAGUAUGAACAAUAACUUUUAAAGAUUUU